ensembl:lncRNA
GUGAUCCAGCAGAGCACGUCGCUUCAACCUUACGACACUUCACGACGCGCCUCACACUCACGGGGCCGCACAAAAAGGAGUGCUCUGACGUCCUCUGUUGGCUACAUUGCUGAAUUGAACUGUCCACUCGAUAUCCUCUUGUUCAUCAUAGGCCUGUUCCUGCUUCAUAGACACGUUCUAGGCUAUUACUACAUGGCAACCGGUGGAUAAACUUGGCCGCUCUUGAAUUGUUCUGCAAUGUGUCGGCCUAUCCAGUAAGGAGGAAAUGUUCGCAUGGAUGACAGAUGGUGCUGGCGCGGCUCAGGGAGAGAUGGCAGGCCUUCUGCGCCAGCUUUGUGCCACCUGCACCCCCUCUUCAGCUCCCCGUCUAUCUACACAAUACCCCGACAGGGUGUGGCAUGGUGUGGCGGGCACUGUUGUUGACUCAAAGACAGGACUUGUGAAACGAUAUGUUUCAGAGAAAUAUGGCGCAUGCGUUUUUGGACUCCACGUCUUGCCUGAUGGAUGAGUUCCACAGGCUCGGAGAGAGGCCCUGCUCAGCAGAAGACGGCUCGGAUGCGGAGGCUCCUAAUUAGGCCAUUCAUCUUUAUGGAAACCCCAGCACCCAAUCAAACCAGAGAGCCCUGGUGCGGCCUCAGCAUUUGAUAAAUCUGUCCUUAAAUUAGUGGCCACGAGAGCCCUGGGGCUCCCUCGCCCCUCAUGGAAGUAUCCAUCAUUGUGUUAAGCACUGGCAAUAGAUUUCUAGCGUGUUAGGUGAGAGCUAGUGUUGUAGGGACUGAAAUGGAGGGCUGUUUUUAGUUUGAGUAUGGAAAAUAAAUCUCAUGUUGAAGCCAUAGUGGGAGAGUGGAAGAGAGGAAGUUACAAUAAAACUUAGAUACCAACAAAGAUAUCUAGCCUGUCAAAAAUGAAAGCACAAUGUGAUCAUUUAGUUAAUUCCUUGGUGUAAACAGAAGCUCUCCACACAUCUCGUUUUCCUUGUAGACCCACAUAACCUAAUAAAGACCAUUUA